rnacentral:rRNA from 2 species
UAGGGAAUCUUCGGCAAUGGGGGGAACCCUGACCGAGCAACGCCGCGUGAGUGAAGAAGGUUUUCGGAUCGUAAAGCUCUGUUGUUAAGGAAGAACGAGUGUGAGAAUGGAAAGUUCAUGCUGUGACGGUACUUAACCAGAAAGGGACGGCUAACUACGUGCCAGCAGCCGCGGUAAUACGUAGGUCCCGAGCGUUGUCCGGAUUUAUUGGGCGUAAAGCGAGCGCAGGCGGUUAGAAAAGUCUGAAGUGAAAGGCAGUGGCUCAACCAUUGUAGGCUUUGGAAACUGUUUAACUUGAGUGCAGAAGGGGAGAGUGGAAUUCCAUGUGUGGCGGUGAAAUGCGUAGAUAUAUGGAGGAACACCGGUGGCGAAAGCGGCUCUCUGGUCUGUAACUGACGCUGAGGCUCGAAAGCGUGGGGAGCGAACAGG